GAUGAACGCUGGCGGCGUGCCUAAUACAUGCAAGUCGAACGAAACUUCUUUAUCACCGAGUGCUUGCACUCACCGAUAAAGAGUUGAGUGGCGAACGGGUGAGUAACACGUGGGCAACCUGCCCAAAAGAGGGGGAUAACACUUGGAAACAGGUGCUAAUACCGCAUAACCAUAGUUACCGCAUGGUAACUAUGUAAAAGGUGGCUAUACUACCGCUUUUGGAUGGGCCCGCGGCGCAUUAGCUAGUUGGUAGGGUAAAGGCUUACCAAGGCAAUGAUGCGUAGCCGAAUUGAGAGGUUGAUCGGCCACAUUGGGACUGAGACACGGCCCAAACUCCUACGGGAGGCAGCAGUAGGGAAUCUUCCACAAUGGGCGAAAGCCUGAUGGAGCAACGCCGCGUGGGUGAAGAAGGUCUUCGGAUCGUAAAACCCUGUCGUUAGAGAAGAAAGUGCGUGAGAGUAACUGUUCACGUUUCGACGGUAUCUAACCGGAAAGCCACGGCUAACUACGUG
rnacentral:rRNA from 1 species